rnacentral:lncRNA from 11 species
AGGCAGAGCCGGAGCGAAAGCUCCGAAGGGAUUAGUAAAGAUUUCUUUUUCCGGAGUGAGAUGAAAGAAGAAGGGGAGGAGGGGAGUGCCAAAAUGAAGAGCAAAGAUUCAUAGCAAAGGAAACUCAUUAUUCUUCAUCUUUUCCAAUGACCUUGUUUGUUUUAUUCUUGCUUGAAAGUGGUUACUUUCUGAUUUGAAACUUUAAAGACAUCUGGAGACUUGAGCAACCAAGGGAAGGCAAGUAAUGGAAUAAAAGAGAUGUAGCUGUCAAAAUCCAUCUCAGGAAACCUCAGAACAGGGAGGUUGGCCUUCAGGAAUACCAGCUUCUCCACCAAAAGGGGGUCCAGCAAGCUCCAGUGAUUGGUGACGACAUCUCCUGCAAGAGGUUGU